rnacentral:miRNA from 1 species
CCUCCAGAUGUUUUGAGACUACAAUUCCCACCAUCCCUGACCACUGGUCCUGUUAGCUUGGGAUGAUGGGAGUUGUAGUCCCAAAACAUCUGGAGG